rnacentral:snoRNA from 1 species
UCCCUCACAGGGUCACACCUGGAGAGUUUCCAGUACUCUACUAGGUUCGACUAUGGGAGGGAGAGUCAAGCAGAGGCCUACCCAUUCUAUUCCUAGCUUGGCCAGUGGCUAGCGAGUGGAAGGCAAUCUGCUACAAGU